CAAGUCCACUGACACCAUCAAGUUUUAGGAGGUUUAUUCUCUGCUCCCUGAGGCCACCCCCUUGUAUAAGAAGAUGCUAAUUUUAACAGGAGAUCAUGCAUCCCAAGAGCAGGAGUGAACGUGCAGCUAUUUCUUGGCAACCCUAACUGCCACCAGAGUUGCCAGGCUGCUAAAGGCAUUCGCCUGUGCUGUACACACAGCUGGGAAAUCAGAAGCAAGGAGCUGGGUUUGUUACCAGCCAAAGCCCUGGAACUCACAAGGCAAUCUGCUCUCCUUGGGAAGUUUUUGUCUGAGCAUCUGAGAUAUUUUCAAGUAAGAAGCCAUGGAGAUUGGAAGAGCUACCCCUGCAGCAAAAUCAGCCUUGUGUUAUGUACAGGCUGGCCUGUGACAACAAGCCCUGGGGACACUGGGGUUCCAGCCCUGCUCAGCCGAGGUGAGGAGUGGGCUCAGUAGAAGUGUUUUUCAGGGCCCAGCAUACCUGUGGGCAGAGUCGGGCACCUCUUACCCAUCCUGGGGUUUAUAUAGCUGAGAAAAUUCUGGAAGUCAUGUUCCAAAUCAUAGACAAGGUAAACCCUACAAAACCAGGCUGCUCAUCUUGCUAUUCAAGUCAGGAUAUUUUCAAUUGUGAGAGAGUGACUCACAAUCGAAUCUCUGAAUAAUACAGAGGAAUUAAUUGGUUCCUAUAACCAAAAAGUCCUGGGAGUAUAUGGCUUUAGGCGUGGCUGAAUCAGAAGCUCAGAUAAUAGCUACAAGAAACCUUCUCUGCAUUUUUUGUCUUUGCUCUCUUUUGUGUUUACUUCAUUUAGAAAUAGGCAACUAUGGCCCCUUGCUGUUUCAAGUUUUUAUUCUACAGCUUAACUUCAGAGGAAAGAGACCAACUCUUCACUUUUUGUAAGAGCUUUCUUGAAAUAUAACUCAUGUAUUAAACAGCUUACCCUGGGAUUUCCCUGGUGGCCUAGUGGGAUAGGCCAAGCUUUUUAUUAUCUGUCAUUUUGAUUGUAGCCACCCUAGUGGGUGUUAAGUGGUACCUCAUUAAGGUUUUGAUCUGUGUUUCCCUUGGAAGGAAAGGAGGUAAGGGGACUCCUUGAGUGGUGAAUAUCAUCAUUUCAGACAUGAAGUUUGAACUUAGAAUUAACCGAAUAUUUACACAAAAGGGGUAUUCAAAUCAGAAGAGACAGAAUUACUUUUAAUUGAUAAAUGUAGAUGUUUUCUGCCCUCAGAGGAAAAUUACUCUAAAGCAAGAUGUUGUCAUUUAAAACAUCACAUAUCGGAGUUCCCGUCGUGGCGCAGUGGUUAACGAAUCCGACUAGGAACCAUGAGGUUGCGGGUUCGAUCCCUGCCCUUGCUCAGUGGGUUAAGGAUCCGGCGUUGCCGUGAGCUGUGGUGUAGGUUGCAGACACGGCUCGGAUCCCGCGUUGCUGUGGCUCUGGCGUAGGCCGGUGGCUACAGCUCC
rnacentral:lncRNA from 1 species